UACGUAGGGGGCUAGCGUUGUCCGGAAUCAUUGGGCGUAAAGCGCGUGUAGGCGGUCCGGUAAGUCCGCUGUGAAAGUCGGGGGCUCAACCCUGGGAUGCCGGUCGAUACUGCCGGACUAGAGUCCGGAAGAGGCAAGUGGAAUUCCCGGUGUAGCGGUGAAAUGCGCAGAUAUCGGGAGGAACACCAAUGGCGAAGGCAGCUUGCUGGGACGGUACUGACGCUGAGACGCGAAAGCGUGGGGAGCAAACAGG
rnacentral:rRNA from 1 species